rnacentral:tRNA from 1 species
AAAUAAGAAGCAAAAGAAUUGCAUUUAGUUUCGACCUAAAAAUUGAUUUAAAAAAAAUCCUUAUUUA